AGGAGACAUGGACUCCUUUACCACCCCCCAGAGAACUUCAGACUUUGUUUUAGCCCCGAGGACCUUUGGGCUUGUAUGGAUAAAGCGCUAUAGCAGUUACAGUUCCGAGGAGGGCCCUUUGACUCGACCAUUAAUAGAUACCUCGGGACCAAACCCCAAACCCUUGUGAAGAAUCCCGAUGAGUGUGACGACCCCCCCCAAAGUUGGAAGAUGAUCAUGACUUGGGGGAGUCACUGGUGGACAAGGUGAACGGGAAAGACGUUGCUCAGCUCGACGAUGCCUUUCAAGAGGCCUUUGAGAACUUACACAUCGGUAGCCCUGUCGUGCAUCAGCUGUUUUUGCUCCUGUCUGAGAUGCAGCUCUCAAGAGGAAAAUCCAGAAAAGAACAAAAUAGAAGAAUGAACCAGCUCAGAGUCCUUCGUUGUAGGGGUCAUGGCGUCCAUUUUUACAGGUGGCUGUCAAAGGUUGUGUUAAACCAGGCAAUUAAUUAAACUUAUUUAAAUGUGUCCCUAUGACUGUAUCCCCCUCCAUAUUUGUGUUAGUAAAAGACGGUACCAAGAACAGUCCUGUCUCCGCAGACAGCUCUGUUAAUGAAAAUAUAUUACAUCCCCAGGGAAGUUGGGAGCUUUGGUGGGGGAAUCCUCUUUUUCGAGUGGCCAAAAAGCAUAAUAAAACUUGAAAUAGAAGACAGGUAACAGCUUGGCUUUCAGAUCGGAUGCUUUCACUUUACACAAACUGGUUCAAAUACGUUUUAAAAGAAACAGGAGCCUUUCAAAAAGGUUAUGAACAGACGUUUACUGAUGAGCUAUUUAUAGUGGAGUAAGCCUUAACCAGGGGCCAGAGACCUGUAUACUGAUUAAAAGAUUAUGAGGGUGAGACAGUUACUGGAUCUUUUUACCCUGAAGAAUUACAAAAAGUAAACCCCAAACAAGACAGGAUUUACAGGAUUGAAAAAGUUCUAGCGGAUAAAGGAAAAGGGAGAAAAAAGCAGCUACUGGUGAAAUGGUUCGGGGGAUCGAUAAGUUUAAGAGCUGGGUGGAAGCUUCUCAACUCUGUGACAUUUAGACAUGAACAAAACAAACAAACAAACAAAAAGAUUGCUCCUGCAAAGACACAGAGAGAAAAAUGAGCGACAGCAGGUUUUACAUUACUUUGCCCAGCAAUGCCAGCUCUGCAGUUUUUCCUCAGAACACCAGCUUGAACUUUACAAUACUGCUAAUUAAGCCCUAGGAUCUCCGGAGUGCCUGGGAGGUAGGUUUGUGGAAAUACGAUACCCGCACAGCCAGAACACUAUCAACGAAGACACCCCUUUUGAAAUCACCUUUGGAGAUAUGGCAUGGAGUUUUAUCCUACGACAAGGUUAUUACUCGUCCAUACCCGAAUUAUUGGAUCAUAUGAACAGUACUGUGGCUCGUCAUCCCACACCGCCUGAGGUGGUCAUGAACUACGACCCUAGGGGUAGAAAAGUUAGUCUUAAGUCCGCCGAUUUUACUUAUAUGUUUUCUAUCAGCGGGGAGCUAGCUAACAUUCUAGGUUUGGGCCCGAAGCACAGCAUCCAAAAAUUCCCCUUCUCAGCAGAUAUCACAGGGCUUUUAAUUUCUUGUGUCUGUUCACAGAUAUUGUAGAACACGAAUUUGUGGGGGACUUUUCUGUUCCCCUGUUACGCUGUGUCCCUGUCCAAGGAAGGAACAACAAGUUUGUCACCAUCACCUACGAUAAACCUCAUUACGUUCCUGUCAGAAAACACCACAUCGAUACCAUUACCAUUGAAAUAAAGACAGAUCAGAACAGACACGUCUUAUUUUGCGUUGGCAAGGUGAUCAUCAAGGUGCACCUGUUUCCCUUUAAAGAGCGAGGUUUCUAAAAAGCAAAACAUUAUGGCGAUCCUAAAAAACUACAGCGACCCCACCAUCUACAGGAACUAUUACAAAGCCCAAGUGGGAUAUGCCCUUCCUGGAUGUACGGGGCUGGCGUGGGUGGAAUAUUCCGUAACCAAGCCUCUGCAACCAGACUUCAAGGCAGAACACUGCGUGAGAGAAUACAUGAAUCUGGUACAGACAGCUGGUAAACACGUGAAAGAUCGUUCUCUGUUAAUCAACCGUGAGGAGUUUGCCUUUGACCUGUCUCCCGACCAGGAAUGCGCCAAUCACUGUUCCCUGUUUAAAACCGGGAACCUGAGAGCAGAAAUACAUUUUGGGACGGCUCUAACCGUCACCAUCAAUAUGAUCGUGUAUGGGGUUUUUGACAACGUCAUAGAGAUAAAUCAGAGGAGAAAUGUUCUGCUUGACUAUAUGUGAACAUGGACACUGUGCAGCUCUCACGUGUCUCAUCAAUGACCCCUUACACAAAAAAGAAUUCCCUUAUGAUUGGCUCCCUGGCAGCAAGCUGUCUCAGAGACCCUUAGGUUUGGUGGUCAAUAUGCAUCCACAUAACCAACCUGGUGAACACUGGCUCACCUUGUAUCUGGCGAAGUGUAACCGUGGAGAGUUUUUUUACUCAUACGGGCACCCCCCCCCCCGAAUAGCGUGUUGUUUCCUAAAAGCAUUAUGAAAUUUUUAAACAAAAAUGCCACACACAAUGUGUUCCACAAUAGACAAUUA